rnacentral:rRNA from 1 species
AAAGAUUAAGCCAUGCAUGUCUAAGUACAUGUGUAAUUAAACACGAAACCGCGUAUGGCUCAUUACAACAGCUAAAAUUUACUUGAUUUUGACUUUUAUCCUACAUGGAUAACUGUGGUAAUUCUGGAGCUAAUACAUGCAUAAAAGAUAUAACAUUUAUAUGUUAUAUUGCGUAUAUUAGUAUUAAAACCAAGCAUUCUUCGGAAUGUUUUGUGUUGAAACUGAAUAUAUCAUGCUGAUCGUAUGGUCUUGUACCGACGACAUGUCAUUCAAGUGUCUGUUCUAUCAACUUUCUAUAUAAGUAUAUAGUACUUAUAUGGUUUUGACGGAUAACGGGGUAUUAGGGUACGACUCCGGAGAAAAUGCCUGAGAAACGGCGUUUACAUCCAAGGAAGGCAGCAGGCGCGAAAAUUACCCACUCUCAGUACGAGGAGGUAGUGACGAGAAAUGACAAGAUCUAUUCCUUCGGGGAUGGAUCAUUGGAAUGGUUUGAUUUUAAAAUCAUUAAAGAGUAUCAAUGAGAGGGCAAGUCUGGUGCCAGCAGCCGCGGUAAUUCCAGCUCUCAUACUGCAUUGAAUUGUUGUUGCGGUUAAAAAGCUCGUAGUUGGAUCUGUACAUGAUAGGUUAGUUCAUCCUUUGGAUUGUAACUAAUACUAAAUGUUUUUUAUUAGAUUUUUUUAGUCCGUAAGGAUUAAAAUGUCUAAUGAGUUUACUUUGAAUAAAUCAGAGUGCUCAAAACAGGCGUAAGCUUGUAUGGUUUUGCAUGGAAUAAUAGAACAUGACUAUGGUUCAUGUUUUAUUGGUUUUACUUACCAUAGUAAUG